AGCGAACGCUGGCGGCAGGCUUAACACAUGCAAGUCGAGCGGGCACUUCGGUGUCAGCGGCAGACGGGUGAGUAACACGUGGGAACGUACCCUUUGGUUCGGAAUAACGCUGGGAAACUAGCGCUAAUACCGGAUACGCCCUUUUGGGGAAAGGCUUGCUGCCGAAGGAUCGGCCCGCGUCUGAUUAGCUAGUUGGUGGGGUAAUGGCCUACCAAGGCGACGAUCAGUAGCUGGUCUGAGAGGAUGAUCAGCCACACUGGGACUGAGACACGGCCCAAACUCCUACGGGAGGCAGCAGUGGGGAAUAUUGGACAAUGGGCGCAAGCCUGAUCCAGCCAUGCCGCGUGAGUGAUGAAGGCCUUAGGGUUGUAAAGCUCUUUUGUCCGGGACGAUAAUGACGGUGCCGGAAGAAUAAGCCCCGGCUAACUUCGUG
rnacentral:rRNA from 1 species